GCGCCGGUAGCUCAGCUUGGAUGGAGCGAGAGGUUCCUAACCUCUAGGUCGGGAGCGGUUGCUGAGUUAAAAACUCUUCACCCCGAAUUCAAAUCUUCCCCGGCGCG
rnacentral:tRNA from 1 species